CGGGCACCACAGGGAGGGGAGCCAGCGGUUUAUUUCAACUCAACAAGGGAAAAUUCCCCCGGCAAGAACACAGUAAGGAUUGACCUACUAUUAGUUUUUUCUGGAUUGGGUGGGGGGGGGGGGAUGGCCGUUAUUAGUUGGUACAUCGAUUCCCUAGUUUAAAACAAAUACCUAACAAAUUUCUAGCUUGUUAAAUAGAAAAGAUUCAAAUAUCGUCGCUCAAAAAAAUUAAUAGACACUACGCGCCGAAAUCUGACGACUCGAUUUCAGCAAUAUGGUGUCUGUCUUGCCAAAUUAUGAAAGCGCCCCACCACGCACUAAAGUGAGGGACAUGAAGUGCCAUCAUUCCCAGGCCAGUACGGGUAAAGUUAUCAUCAAUUUUACCUUCGGAAGGAUCAAAGCCGGAUGUCCUAUCGCAAAGAAAGUCGCUCUAUUGAUGAGCGAGAGUCAAAGACUGUGGUUACAUGUCAACGCCAUGAGUACACAAAACAUUUCUCUAACCCAACUUAAUUGUUUUAG
rnacentral:rRNA from 1 species